rnacentral:lncRNA from 1 species
UAGUAACCUACAUUGAGCAUCUGCCCUCAAACAUAACGCACUUUGUCUGGCUAUCAAAAACACCCAACAAUAAGCACCAUGACCUACAAAUUCAAUAGUUCGAGAUAUUUGGCCAUGGAUUUGCUCUAGCGGUGGUGCUGCUCCAUCGCAAUCUUAUGAUUAUGGUGGAGGGUCAUCUAAUGGUCAACCUCCUCAUGCAUUGGUAACUUUUGGCUAUUGCGGCAAGCUAAUUGUGAUGAAGAAUAUACAGGUGCUAUAAUAAAUUCAUCUUAUGGUGGCCAGGUUUGUUCGUGUAUGAUAAGUGUCUCGUAUGUCUUUGGUUUCUGCCCAUAGUGAUGCGUGGCUAUUUUAUGUCGGAUUUUAAUUUGGCGCCAAAGUUGGUUCUUAACGCCAAACAAUCUUUGAGGAACGGCGCUGCGGGAACGAAGCGCUUGGAGCCUUGGGAACUUUAGCAAAACUAGGGCUUCCAAUUGGUGGUGGAACGCCGAACGCCUGAGUCUCAUGGAGGAAUGCAACGUUGGCCAUGGAAAAGAUGAAUCAACCAAGGGCUUUGGAAACCAACUGAGAUAAAACACUGGUAUGCAACAGCUAGUGGACGCUCGGAUGGUCUGUUUUACUAUGUGGUGGAAGAGUCGCCUCUGGCGCGUUAUGCUCUAAGAUAUCAACUACUUGCCCUAACUACCAAUAAGCGGUACUGAAAAAGCCACACAAUCUUUGGUUGAAUAGCUUAAACCAACGUUAAAAGAGGUUGAAUACAGUGAGUUGGUUGAUGUCGCACCAGUAAGUGCAGGAAGAAAUAUGAUGUGGGAAUAUGAUUGCUAAGAGAGAAUUAACAUGGGGAUCAUUACACAUGAAGAUUGCAAAAGAGGUUCAUGAAGGCAAUGAAGUCUUGAGUUUUUAUUAUAACAUUUGUUAGUUUUAUUCAAACAUUAGAGUUAGUUUGCUACUUAUUAGACAUUAGUUUGUAAACGUUUGAAUGUUCGGAAGACGAUCUAACUUUUAUUUGAACUAAUGAUGUUAUGAUU